rnacentral:sRNA from 1 species
UUUUGCAUUGCAUAACUUUUUACUACUGAUCCUGUACUAUUACUGUAUCCUAGAUGAUGUAUAGUGAUAAAUUCUAAAGGAUAUAUUUUAUUUGUUUUAUAAAUUUCAUAUUAAAAUUUUGCUAAGUUCUUUGUUAUCUAAGGAGAAUUGUUACCUUUAGCCUCACAUGUUGUGCCUAUUUGUAGAAUCAAGAUUAGAAGGAUGGCUUUCAUUGCCUGUACGAAACAACACUAAGAAAUUUGGAUGGGUUAAAAAGUAUGUGAUUGUAAGCAGUAAGAAGAUUCUUUUCUAUGACAGUGAACAAGAUAAAGAACAAUCCAAUCCUUACAUGGUUUUAGAUAUAGACAAGUUAUUUCAUGUCCGACCAGUUACACAGACAGAUGUGUAUAGAGCAGAUGCUAAAGAAAUUCCAAGGAUAUUCCAGAUUCUGUAUGCCAAUGAAGGAGAAAGUAAGAAGGAAC